CCUACGGGCGGCUGCAGUGGGGAAUAUUGGACAAUGGGCGAAAGCCUGAUCCAGCCAUGCCGCGUGUGUGAAGAAGGCCUUCGGGUUGUAAAGCACUUUCAGUGGGGAAGAAAGCCUUGGGGCUAAUACCCUCGAGGAAGGACAUCACCCACAGAAGAAGCACCGGCUAACUCCGUGCCAGCAGCCGCGGUAAUACGGAGGGUGCGAGCGUUAAUCGGAAUUACUGGGCGUAAAGCGCGCGUAGGCGGUCUGAUAAGCCGGUUGUGAAAGCCCCGGGCUCAACCUGGGAACGGCAUCCGGAACUGUCAGGCUAGAGUGCAGGAGAGGAAGGUAGAAUUCCCGGUGUAGCGGUGAAAUGCGUAGAGAUCGGGAGGAAUACCAGUGGCGAAGGCGGCCUUCUGGACUGACACUGACGCUGAGGUGCGAAAGCGUGGGUAGCAAACAGGAUUAGUACCCCGUAGUC
rnacentral:rRNA from 1 species